rnacentral:rRNA from 1 species
UGGGGAAUUGUUCGCAAUGGGCGCAAGCCUGACGACGCAACGCCGCGUGAAGGAUGAAGGUCUUCGGAUUGUAAACUUCUGUUGGGUGGGACGAACAUUUUCAGGGCGAAUACCCCUGAAAACUGACGGUACCACCUGAGGAAGCCCCGGCUAACUCUGUGCCAGCAGCCGCGGUAAUACAGAGGGGGCAAGCGUUGUUCGGAAUUACUGGGCGUAAAGGGCGCGUAGGCGGCCUAUUAAGUCAGACGUGAAAUCCCUCGGCUCAACCGGGGAACUGCGUCUGAUACUGGUGGGCUUGAGUUCGGGAGAGGGAUGUGGAAUUCCAGGUGUAGCGGUGAAAUGCGUAGAUAUCUGGAGGAACACCGGUGGCGAAGGCGGCAUCCUGGACCGACACUGACGCUGAGGCGCGAAAGCCAGGGGAGCAAACG